UGGCUCAGACGGUAAAGCGUCUGCCUACAAUGCAGAAGACCUGGGUUCAAUCCCUG
rnacentral:tRNA from 1 species